UUGGCUAAGGGCCAGGAGCUGUACAAGGACACGCCUCCCAGCCAACCAGAGAAGGAGAAGUACCACAGUCUGAGUGAUGAUUGGAGGGCGAUUCAGGGGCAAAUGAUAGUACACAGAGAGGCUGGCCGCUCUAAAGAUCCAGAAAACCACCAUUGAGACCCUCCAGGGAGACGCCCAGCCCUGGCUCAGUUCAACAAGGCCUGGGCAGAGCUCUCUGAUUGGCUAUCCCUGCUGGAUCAGAUGGUACAGACACAGAGGGUGACCGUGGCCGACCUGGACGACAUCAACCACAUGAUCGUCAAGACCAAGGGAGCACUGGGGGACAUGGAGCGGCG